rnacentral:misc_RNA from 1 species
GAAUCCGCCAAGUACGUGUUUCGUCUCGAACACUGAAAUAGACGGCUUCUUUUUGUCGCCGGCUAAGAAAGAGGCGGCUUGAAUGGGCGUCCUACGAUCUAGUUACUACCAUAGGUAGCGCUAGUCAUAGACGGGUGCUUCCCGAAGAGCUAUGAGCCAAACGACUGCGUCUUCCGAGGGUGUCGGAUAGGCACCAGUCAGGCCAGAGUCUCCAGGGGGGCAUCUCAAUCCCAGGGAGGAAUUUACUUUGUUUACAGGGAGGGUGUGCGUUAACCAUGCCCAGGUUCCAAGCAUGCUAUGAACUCUGGGACAGAGUGUCAUAGGGAGUGCCCCGGACAACCCGUGUCUACUGGCGAUUUUUGUCUUUAGACACGACGCUACAACCCAGUCAGUUUCAAACCAACUUGCAAUCACCCUUCGCGUCCCAAGAGGGGAGUCUAUUUGCACAGAGACGAAACCAGACUAGCGUCACUCACGUUCUCGGCGGAACCGGUUCGUGAGAUUUACUUUUUUUACUUGCUAUCGAUGAUAAUUUUGGCACUGGUGAUGUUGGAGCAUAGGAGAUGAUGCUCUUGGUGGUGGAAGGGAGGAGUGGAUUUGGGGGCUUGUUUGCAAGACAGGAGGCGUGAGGAUAGUUAGGGGUGGUGGGUGGUGGAUGGUAGAUGAGGGGAGUUGGAAGGUGACGAGGGGUGGAAGAUGAGGGAGUUGGAAGGUGACGAGGGGUGGAAGAUGAGGGAGUUGGAAGGUGACGAGGGGUGGAAGAUGAGGGGUGGUGGGAGGCCGUAGGCCGUGGAUUGUGGAUGGUUGGAGUAUGUGAGGGAGAAAUCACUUGAACCCUCUGGUUGUGUGGCCUUCUAAUCACAUCCGUGUGUGGAGAGAAAACACUGCAAUCUUCUGAUUGUGUGGUCUUCUCAAUCACACCCGUGUGUGAGGGGAAAAGCACUGGAACCCUCGUUCUCAAUCACCUCUGUGUGCGAGGGAGAAAGUGCUCAAACCUUCGGGUUGUGGUCUUCUCAAUCACAUCCUCCAAGGGUGGUGGAGGGAAUGCAGGAGAGGGAUAAGGCAUUAUAUGGGGGUGUUGGGGUUGUGUGAGUGGGAUAUAUAUAAAUAAUGUAUUGAUUGUUUUGA